CCACGGAAUUUAGCAGAGAUGCUUUAGCGCCUUCGGGAACCGUGAGACAGGUGCUGCAUGGCUGUCGUCAGCUCGUGUUGUGAAAUGUUGGGUUAAGUCCCGCAACGAGCGCAACCCUUAUCCUUUGUUGCCAGCGGGUUAUGCCGGGAACUCAAAGGAGACUGCCAGUGAUAAACUGGAGGAAGGUGGGGAUGACGUCAAGUCAUCAUGGCCCUUACGAGUAGGGCUACACACGUGCUACAAUGGCGCAUACAAAGAGAAGCGACCUCGCGAGAGCAAGCGGACCUCAUAAAGUGCGUCGUAGUCCGGAUUGGAGUCUGCAACUCGACUCCAUGAAGUCGGAAUCGCUAGUAAUCGUAGAUCAGAAUGCUACGGUGAAUACGUUCCCGGGCCUUGUACACACCGCCCGUCACACCAUGGGAGUGGGUUGCAAAAGAAGUAGGUAGCUUAACCUUCGGGAGGGCGCUUACCACUUUGUGAUUCAUGACUGGGGUGAAGUCGUAACAAGGUAGGCGUAGUGCU
rnacentral:rRNA from 1 species